UACGUAGGGUGCGAGCGUUAAUCGGAAUUACUGGGCGUAAAGCGUGCGCAGGCGGUUUUGUAAGCCAGAUGUGAAAGCCCCGGGCUCAACCUGGGAAUGGCAUUUGGGACUGCAAGGCUUGAGUGCGGCAGAGGAGACUGGAAUUCCUGGUGUAGCAGUGAAAUGCGUAGAUAUCAGGAGGAAUACCGAUGGCGAAGGCAGGUCUCUGGGCUGACACUGACGCUCAUGCACGAAAGCGUGGGGAGCAAA
rnacentral:rRNA from 1 species